UUUAACACUAUUGAGCGAUUCUAUAUUCUAUAGAACCCCUUAUGCUAAAAUCAGUAACACGGAGCACCCCUCCUCUGCAGCGCAAGUGUACAUCAAAACGGACACACCACUGAUAAUUAACGCCCAUGAGCCUACAACGGUAACCUCACAAGAAAACCCCGCUACCCCAGCCCCGUUAACCUAACACAAGAGCGCCCCCAGAAAGAUUUAAAGAAGCGGAAGGAACUCGGCAAAACCUAACCCCGCCUGUUUACCAAAAACAUCGCCUCUUGAAAAAAUAAGAGGUCCAGCCUGCCCAGUGACCUAGUUCAACGGCCGCGGUAUCCUGACCGUGCGAAGGUAGCGUAAUCACUUGUUCUUUAAAUAAGGACUAGUAUGAAUGGCAUCACGAGGGUUGAACUGUCUCCCGCCUCUAAUCAGUGAAAUUAAUCCCCCCGUGAAGAAGCGGGGAUAAAACUAUAAGACGAGAAGACCCCAUGGAGCUUAAAACGACCGGCACCUGCUAACCCCCACAUUUAAGUUAAGCAUCCUGACCUUUAGUUUUCGGUUGGGGCGACCACGGAGAACAACCCACCCUCCACGCUGAAUGAUUUUAUCUAAGCUAAAAAUUUCCACUUUAAGCAUCAGCAUCCUGACACCCAUUGACCCAAUACAAUUGAUCAACGAACCAAGUUACCCUGGGGAUAACAGCGCAAUCCACUUCCAGAGCCCCUAUCGACAAGUGGGUUUACGACCUCGAUGUUGG
rnacentral:rRNA from 1 species